CGCGGCCUAUCAGCUUGUUGGUGGGGUAACGGCCUACCAAGGCAGCGACGGGUAGCUGGUUUGAGAGAACGAUCAGCCACACUGGGACUGAGACACGGCCCAGACUCCUACGGGAGGCAGCAGUAGGGAAUCUUGCGCAAUGGGCGAAAGCCUGACGCAGCAACGCCGCGUGCGGGAUGACGGCCUUCGUGGUUGUAAACCGCUUUCAGCAGGGACGAAAUUGACGGUACCUGCAGAAGAAGCCCCGGCUAACUACGUGCCAGCAGCCGCGGUAAUACGUAGGGGGCGAGCGUUGUCCGGAAUCAUUGGGCGUAAAGAGCUCGUAGGCGGUUCAGUAAGUCGGGUGUGAAAGCUCCGAGCUCGACUCGGAGAGGCCACUCGAUACUGCUGUGACUAGAAUCCAGUAGGGGAGUGUGGAACUCCUGGUGUAGCGGUGAAAUGCGCAGAUAUCAGGAAGAACACCAGCGGCGAAGGCGGCACCCUGGGCUGGUAUUGACGCUGAGGAGCGAAAGUGUGGGUAGCAAACAGGAUUAGAUACCCUGGUAGUCCACACCGUAAACGUUGGGCACUAGGUGUGGGGAGGAUCAACCCUUUCCGUGCCGUAGCUAACGCAUUAAGUGCCCCGCCUGGGGAGUACGG
rnacentral:rRNA from 1 species